CUCAGCCCCUGUACGUCAUCGGUUUUGUCAUCAAUUUCACUUCCCUAAACGACGUGGAAUGCUGAACAUGAAACACUGUGACCUUGUGACGUAAGAAGUGGCCAUCUGUAAACAAGCUGGAGCUGCAUCUACUCCCAUGAGGAACUCUGGGGGGGUGGGCUUAUCUGAUAGAAGAUAACUCAGAAGAUUAGAGUGGAUGAAUCUUCACAGAAAAGGCCCUGGGGAAUUGAAUUGUUCUCAAUGGACAUGCUAUUCUCAUGGCCUUGCAGUCAGAGGUUUUGGACAGUUGACUUCAGGAAGGAUAAUAGAAAUCCUUGGGGAAAGAGGAGAAGCCUUUCCCAGUACACCAGGAUGUCACUGGAACGCAUCUUUAAUAUACUUGUCUUCCAAUUCUGCUCAGUUAAUAAGUGGAAUUCACUUUAUCUCUUUACUGGCAUUCUGUUACUGCCUCUGGUAAAAAUUUCGACUGCCUAUAAUAAUAUUAUAAUUCUAUUGUAAUUAAAAUGUUUUAUUGUUUUUCAUAACCAUGCUGUAAAUGAAGGCAGCUAUUGCAGAAUAAGCCAUAUAAGCCAUCUGUUGGUCAGUUAGUGAGUGCAUGAGUUUUAAAUGGAGACUGUAUAAUAACAAGACAAAACUGUUCACAGUGGAGGGAAUCAGUGUUGUCGGAAUAGCUAAUUUCUGAUGCCCCAAUGUGGCCAAAAUAGGUAUUGCAGUUACAAUGACCAAAGGCUUUUUAGUCUGAAGGGUAUCACAACUAUUGAAUACUGAGAUACUGAAUAAAAACUACAAAUUUGG